rnacentral:rRNA from 1 species
CGAAGAACCUUACCUACCCUUGACAUGUCAGGAAUCCUGGAGAGAUUGGGGAGUGCUCGAAAGGGAACCUUGAACACAGGUGCUGCAUGGCUGUCGUCAGCUCGUGUCGUGAGAUGUUGGGUUAAGUCCCGCAACGAGCGCAACCCUUGUCAUUAGUUGCUACGAAAGGGCACUCUAAUGAGACUGCCGGUGACAAACCGGAGGAAGGUGGGGAUGACGUCAAGUCCUCAUGGCCCUUAUGGGUAGGGCUUCACACGUCAUACAAUGGUACAUACAGAGGGCCGCCAACCCGCGAGGGGGAGCUAAUCCCAGAAAGUGUAUCGUAGUCCGGAUUGCAGUCUGCAACUCGACUGCGUGAAGUUGGAAUCGCUAGUAAUCGCGGAUCAGCAUGUCGCGGUGAAUACGUU